rnacentral:rRNA from 1 species
GAUGAACGCUGGCGGCGUGCCUAAUACAUGCAAGUCGAGCGAACAGACGAGGAGCUUGCUCCUCUGACGUUAGCGGCGGACGGGUGAGUAACACGUGGAUAACCUACCUAUAAGACUGGGAUAACUUCGGGAAACCGGAGCUAAUACCGGAUAAUAUAUUGAACCGCAUGGUUCAAUAGUGAAAGACGGUUUUGCUGUCACUUAUAGAUGGAUCCGCGCCGCAUUAGCUAGUUGGUAAGGUAACGGCUUACCAAGGCAACGAUGCGUAGCCGACCUGAGAGGGUGAUCGGCCACACUGGAACUGAGACACGGUCCAAACUCCUACGGGAGGCAGCAGUAGGGAAUCUUCCGCAAUGGGCGAAAGCCUGACGGAGCAACGCCGCGUGAGUGAUGAAGGUCUUCGGAUCGUAAAACUCUGUUAUUAGGGAAGAACAAAUGUGUAAGUAACUAUGCACGUCUUGACGGUACCUAAUCAGAAAGCCACGGCUAACUACGU